ensembl:lncRNA
GAACUGACCAACCUUGUUGGUCGGAAAAACAGGUGAAAAUCUGAGCUCUUGACGGUGUCUGAAGUGGUGUACCGGGGUGUACUUUGUGGCAUUGACCUCUUCAUGUGUGGAAAAUGCUGCUCUUUUUGGGCAGAUAGUGUCACAGUUGAGUUGACUUGUAGAACAAUAAGUUGGUGUUGCAGAAAAUUGCUUGGUGUGGGAAAGAGCCCCACAUAAAUGUUGUCCAUAGUGUGGUGAAUGCGGCAGAAGUGUGAGAUGAGAGUAAAGAAGGCACAUAGGAGAGAAAGGCAAGAGGAAAGAACUCAGUUUUUCUCUACUCAGGAAGACUAGAGGUUUUUCUUACAUAGCUGCUGCAGCAUGAGGGAACUUUAGCUGCAGCAUGUGAACACUUGGUUGUGGCAUGUGGGAUCUAGUUCUCUGACCCAAGAUUGAACCUAGGCCCCUACAUUGGGAAUGCACAGUCUUAGUGACUGGACCACCAGCCAGUGGAGCAGAAUAACUUUGACGGGAUAGAAUGCUCGUGCUGUCCUGAGGCCAGAUGUGGUGAAGUCAUGUGGAUCUGGAGAAGGCAUACAUGCAGAUACCAGUCCAGUCUUCCCUGAGCAGGUAGUUUCUUUCUCUAAAUGUUUCUCCAAGGGUCUCCUG